rnacentral:rRNA from 1 species
AACGAACGCUGGCGGCAGGCUUAACACAUGCAAGUCGAACGGGUGUAGCAAUACAUCAGUGGCAGACGGGUGAGUAACACGUGGGAACCUUCCUAGAGGUACGGAACAACGCAGGGAAACUUGCGCUAAUACCGUAUACGCUCUUGCGAGGAAAGAUUUAUCGCCUUUAGACGGGCCCGCGUCGGAUUAGCUAGUUGGUGGGGUAACGGCUCACCAAGGCGACGAUCCGUAGCUGAUCUGAGAGGAUGAUCAGCCACACUGGGACUGAGACACGGCCCAGACUCCUACGGGAGGCAGCAGUGGGGAAUCUUGGACAAUGGGCGCAAGCCUGAUCCAGCCAUGCCGCGUGAGUGAAGAAGGCCUUCGGGUUGUAAAGCUCUUUUGUCAGGGACGAUAAUGACGGUACCUGAAGAAUAAGCCCCGGCAAACUUCGUACCAGCAGCCGCGGU